rnacentral:tRNA from 1 species
GCCUUCGUGGUGUAGUGGUCAGCACGCUGGGCGCGUAUUCCAGAGGUCCGUGGUUCGACUCCCGGCGAAGGCG